CCGCUCCCGCUUCUCCCACCACACUUCCCUGCAAGCUGAGAGAAGCGGCUCUGGCCUUGGGCAGCCCAGAAAGGGGCUCCCUCAGUGCAGCGGUGGGCUGAAGGGCUCCUCAAGUGCCGCCAAAGUGGGAGCCCAGGCAGAGGAGGCGCCCAGAGCGAGCGAGGGCUGUGAGGACUGCCAGCACGCUGUCACCUCUCAGAACUAUUUACUCAGAAUGAGUGAAGAGACAGUCUUGCUCUGUUGCCCAGGCCGGAGUGGAGUGGCACAGUCAUAAUUCCCUGUACCCUUGAAAUCCUGAGCUCAAGCCAUCUCCAUACCUUAGCCUCCCAAGUGGCUACUACAGGACUGACUGAUAGUAUUUUCCUUUGGAAGAUCCUUUUAUAUUCUGUCUCUAUGAAAGAAGUGUUUUCAAUGAAAUAAGAUAUUUAUUCCAAAUCAAUCCUGCACCAGAAGCUCCAUUUCUGCAUUCGCUUCCAGAAAACACAGCAGCCGUAUGUGAAUUUGGGAGUGGUCCCACGAACCGGUUAUGAGACGAGGUUUUGGAGCUGGAUCACACCUGACACAACUGGCAUUGAAAACCUUAUUACCAAGAGCCUCUGGCACAAGGCUGCUAUGAAGAAAUACCCAAGACUGGGUACUUUCUCAACUUUCAAAUUGAGCUGUUCAGAAUGUGUGAAACAAUUUUAAGAUGAAGUCAAAGAUACUUGAAGCAGAAGCUGUAUCUGAGGAAGCUGUAUAUAAACCCAAUUUAAAGCAAGAUGAGAACUCAGCACAGGCACUGCAGCCACGGAGGUUUCCAGAUAGAAAAAUUGACACCCCUGAGAUCCCAUAACAUUUUGGGGACUCAUCUGGGAUCUGCGGAAGGAGCUUGACUCUUUUCAUUGGCAAUAAAUGGCGCCCCAACAUGGGGACUCAGAGAAGACUCAGGAGCCCCAAGCAGUUGUCCGAAAUCAGAGCUAAGGUACCAGCCAGGGUUAAUUGAAGACUCACCAAGUUCAAGCUUCUCCUUUGGUGGAACUGCUGAGAUUGAAGAACACUUGAAAAUUAUCAAGAAUGUACUGCGGAGUAUUGAAAUUGCAAGUUAUCAUCAAAGGAAGCUGAAUCAUACCUUCCCUGUUUCAAAUAACAAGCAUCAAGCAUCGUGAUAAUGUGGACACUAAGGAGCAACAAUUUCUCUAAAGAUAAGAAUAAAGAUAGACUUUUAGACUACGAGAUGGGCCUGAAAAAAUAUCUGAUCAAGCUACUCAGUUUUACAGAUGAAGAAGGUGAAGCCUGGGAAAACCUAAAGAACCUAUAUAAGGUUCUCAGAUAGACACCAUGUUAUCUGCUUGAAUGAAGAAAAUUUGGUAACAUGUUUGCUGAUCUUAAUCUACUAUACAUUUUUUUAGCUUGUCAACUUGAACAAGUUUCUCAAUUAUUUCCUCAUCUAUUUUUUCUGAUAAACUUAACCAAAUCUUGUAAAAUGAAUGUUUUGAAAACGUAUAUCUUAAAGGAGCAUUUUCUAAUUUAAUAUUGAUGUUUUAUUAUUUAUUGAAUCAAGGAAGUUAUGCAUAUUUUGCAUAAAUAUGUGCUACCUUAUGUAUGAUAAUAUUUUUCUCCACAGUCACAUAUUAAUCUGUCCUGACAUUUUUCUAUAAUAAACAUCAUUAUCUGAGACAGAAAUGACAGGAAAAAUUUAUCCAUUUUAAUGAUAUCUAAUUAAAAUUUGUGUCUAACCUUAAUUGAAAUAUAUAUAUAUAUUUCAGUUAGUAAAAAAGGAAAGUCAAUUGAUGAUGCAUUAAGUGUCAGCAUUAUUACAUAGAGAUUGGAAGACAUUAGGUACAAAUGUGAAUCUGCAAGAGUACCAUUUGUAUAUUGCUAAUUACUUGAUACUGUGUCUUUUUAAGAAAGCUGUUACUCUUUAUUCACUCUAGAGCAUUUCAGACAAUUAAUUAGGCAUUCAUUAAUAGAUGAUUAAACAUUUUGUCUCUACAUUGCUUGAAAGGAGUUGUAAAUUACAUCUUGCCCAUGUUGCUAAUUUGCUGUCCAGCAAACAGACUUGCCUGUGGAAAUUUUGUAAAUCAAGCUUAUGAUAUAUUGGCCAUAGAUUGUUUGUCUUCCAAUUCCUCUUAGCUGUUGAUAAUGCAAAUCAAGCCACAUGAAUGAUAACCUGAUAGAAGACACUGCUUUGAAAAGCUAUACUCACAUUAAUACAAACUGUUCAGAAUUGUUAUGUGGAACAUUUCUCUCUAUAAUUGAGAAGAUAAACAUGGCAAAUAAUAUGCUGCUUCAUCAAGUUUUGCAUGUGAAUCAUUCCCAAAGUGAACUUUGAAAAGAGCUCCAUAAAUUCCAUCAGAAAACAAUGAAAUAUAAAACAUCACAGUCCUUUACCAUAGCUAAGCCAGCAAAUAAAUAUCAGGUAUAAAAACUCAUAUUGAUAAAAACCAAACUUUACUUAACGUUACAGAAGUCCAAAUGAUUUUAUCAAGAUAAUAUGUGAUUUAAUAUGUGAAUCUAUAAUAAAGAAUUCUGAGGCUGAGUGUGGUGGCUCAUGUCUGUAAUCCCAGCUCUUUGGGAGACCAAGGCGGGUGGAUCGCCUGACAUUAGGAGUUCGAGACCAACCUGGCCAACAUGGCCAGACCCCAUCUCUACUAAGAAUACAAAAAUUAGCCAGGUUUGGUGGCUCAUGCCUGUAAUCCCAGUUACUCAGGAGGCUGAAGCAUGAGAACUGCUGGAACCUGGAGGCUGCAGUAAGCUGAGAUCGUGCCAUUGCACUCCAGCCUGGGUGACAGAGCAAGACUCAGUCUCAGAAAAAAUAAAUAAAUAAAAAUAAAAAAUAAAAAAAUAAAAUAAAAUUAUGGUCACACAAGUUUCUAGAAAACCAACUUAUUUCUGAGAUAGCCCAGAGGUGACAUACACUGACUAACCCACUGAGAGUAUGUUUUAUUCUUUGCUGAACUACUAGAACCUAGACUAGAGCCUCACAUGCAAAAAGCAUUCAGUAAAAAUUGUGUUUACAGAAAAUUACUAUAGGACAAUAAUUAUGUCUUAUAAGUGGGUUUGUUUAAAGGGUUUAUCAUUUAUUCUAAGUCACACAUUUUACUCAGAAAUACUAGCUUUGUCCUGGAAAGUUCAAUUAAAUAGAGAAAAGGAACAAGAACAUACAUUCAAGCCAAAAUAAGCAAAGCUUUGCCUCAAGAAGGGUUGAUGGAAAAAACAGAAAACAGAAAGCACUACAGUUUAAUGAGUUACAGACUGCUCAGCAGAAAAGACAACAUAGACAUAUAAUACAGGUCUUUCUGCUAAUAUAUUCCUUUCUUUGCUUAAAACUAAGUACAGAUAUUACUUUGGAACCCUUUGAAUGUGGGAAAUUAGUUUCCUCCUCAGCAUUGUCCUCUACUACUUUUCGGAGUAUAAUGUGUAUGACAUUCUCUCAGUAAAAUUUUGAUACACUUGAUAGUUGAAGGUUAAAGAAGAGUAGAAAUCAUCUUAACACCUUACUAAUGGGAAAUUUUUUCAUAGGAAUACACAUAAUUUCCAGAAAGUUACCUUUUUAUAGAGGGCAUCAUGCAUAAUAACACCUUUUGGCUCAAAAUAGAAAUUAUUUUUAAGCUUAUACUUUUGCCAUACGUUAGAGCAACUACUGAUUUAGAUUGUUCUGUUUUACUGUUCUAGAAUCAUUCCACACUUGCCUCUUGGCAUCCAUAAUCAGAAAAGUAAAUCAAGAAAUAAACUAUAAACUGAUCAAUGUUUUAUUAUUUUCCUUAUAGCCUUUUAUUUUACCAUGAGGAGUUUCUGUAUGUAAGGCACUUUAGAAUAUGAAUGAUUUUCAUGGCAUACACAUAAGGGACUAUUAAAAACAACUGACAUGUUUUUGGUAAAGUAUUUGACUGUUUAUUCUUCAUGUAACUGAAAAUAUUCAGCAUUGAAAGAGUUUGCAUUUCAUGAUGGCUACAAAGUUGAAAUUUACAUUCUGGUUUCUUAAAGGCAGGAACUACAUUCUGCAAAGGGCAAAUUUCAAAAGACAAAACUUAAUCCUUAUACUAGCAAAAGUUUGAUUAGAUAAGUUCUACAUACUUAGCUGCUUAUAUAAAUACAGGUGGCUGAGGCUGAAAAUGAAUGCCCCAGGAAGAAGUAAAUCAAUUUUACAAAAAUUAUCAAAUGGCAUAAUGAUGGGCACACAAUGCCCUCCACCCACAGCUGUUCUUGCAUUUCUAACAUAAAAGGCAGCACAAGACAGAAGGGAAACACUGACAAAUAGAUUGGUUCUGCCAUUUCCUUAGCAUUAUGUGCCCUGUCACUUUUUGAAUUUCUUAGAUAAGAUGCAAUUUCUCUUUAGUUUUUAAUGCCCUUUUAGAUAUUUUUUGUUACAGGAUUCGUUACCAUGAAUCCAAGGGACUUUAUUUUGGCACUUUGACAGAAAGGAUUGGACUGCUUAAACAAGAACUAAUAAAUAGCUUCCAUUUCCUACAUGAAAAAAGUAAUACAUGUUUAUGCUGUUUCCUGGAUUGCACAUGUAACUGGCAGCAAGAAACACCCUCGGAAUAGUAAUCAUAAAAUAUCCUUGUUUAUUCCAAAGCAUAACUAUAGAAAUGUGUGACAAUCUGAAUUUCUUUUGUAUGCCAAAAUAUGCUGAGAAAGUACUAAUGAAUGCUGUGCCAUUCUAAUUUUGUAUUAAUGAAAUAAUUUAUUAUUUUUUCAGUUUUAAUUAAAAUUGGCUUUGCAUCAAACUGUGCUUAUCACAUUGAUCACAUGAUAAAAAGGGAAUUUUGUCAUUUAUCAAUAAAAAUGAUUAUGUGUAUUAUCU
rnacentral:lncRNA from 10 species